GACGAACGCUGGCGGCGUGCUUAACACAUGCAAGUCGAGCGGUAAGGCCCUUUCGGGGGUACACGAGCGGCGAACGGGUGAGUAACACGUGGGUGACCUGCCCUCAGCUCUGGGAUAAGCCCGGGAAACUGGGUCUAAUACUGGAUAUGACUCCACGGUGCAUGCCGUGGGGUGGAAAGCCUUGUGCGGCUGAGGAUGGGCCCGCGGCCUAUCAGCUUGUUGGUGGGGUGAUGGCCUACCAAGGCGACGACGGGUAGCCGGCCUGAGAGGGCGACCGGCCACACUGGGACUGAGACACGGCCCAGACUCCUACGGGAGGCAGCAGUGGGGAAUCUUGCGCAAUGGGCGAAAGCCUGACGCAGCGACGCCGCGUGA
rnacentral:rRNA from 1 species